rnacentral:rRNA from 1 species
GACGAACGCUGGCGGCGUGCCUAAUACAUGCAAGUAGAACGCACAGUUUAUACCUUAGCUUGCUACACCAUACACUGUGAGUUGCGAACGGGUGAGUAACGCGUAGGUAACCUGCCUGGUAGCGGGGGAUAACUAUUGGAAACGAUAGCUAAUACCGCAUAAUAUUGAUUAUUGCAUGAUAAUUGAUUGAAAGAUGCUAUUGCAUCACUACCAGAUGGACCUGCGUUGUAUUAGCUAGUAGGUGAGGUAACGGCUCACCUAGGCGACGAUACAUAGCCGACCUGAGAGGGUGAUCGGCCACACUGGGACUGAGACACGGCCCAGACUCCUACGGGAGGCAGCAGUAGGGAAUCUUCGGCAAUGGACGAAAGUCUGACCGAGCAACGCCGCGUGAGUGAAGAAGGGUUUCGGAUCGUAAAGCUCUGUUGUAAGAGAAGAACGGGUGUGAGAGUGGAAAGUUCACACUGUGACGGUAUCUUACCAGAAAGGGACGGCUAACUACGUG